rnacentral:lncRNA from 1 species
AACAAGAGCGGCCCUCCUGAGCACAAGCUGUUUGGAUUCACCUACCUCCGGCUGUCGAAUCAGUUGGUGGAGGGACAAAACUAUGUCAAUUUCAAGACCUUUGUUGACAGAAUGCAUGCCAACCUGGUUAGUGCCACAACCCCUUGUUCAUGCAUGUCAAAAAUUAAACAGAGGAAUCAUUAAUUUGUUGAUUUGCACCGGCCUAUUACAAUAAUGCAAUUUGAUUCUUUUCAGCCUCAUGACCCAUGUGUUGAUCCAGUGGCGCCUUUGCAAAGAUCAGGGCCAGAACUGACGAUUGAAAUGAUCCUACAAGCAGCGCAGCCAAAACUGGAUCCAUUCCCCUUUGAAGAGCACACCGACCUGCGAGUUCAAGGCCUCGGUGGCAUCGGUGGGGAUGUUGAAGGCCCCACUGGUGGCAUGGGUGGGGAGGUUCAAGACCCCACUGGUAGCAUGGGUGGGGAGCUCCCUGCCACCGUGUAAUGAAACCUUUAUGAUCUACAGUACCUUUUAUGUUGUGUGUGACAGAGAAACCUUUCUCUGCCUUAUUAAUAGCAAUAAAUAAAGCACAUCACUUGUGCGUGUUCUGGAAGAAAAAUCUCAGUGCUGGAAGGGUUAAUCUUCUCUUUGUGAGAAUUAACCGUGCCCUAGAAAUAAGCCGAUGAGGAUAAAUAAGAUGUGGUGCUACAGUACAUCAUGAGGAUUACUCAUCAAUAUUGGAUUAGUCAUCAAGAGGAUGCUUUUCCAAUGAGCUGUAGUACAUCAGACCUUACAUACCUCCAUUAUGUGCAUAUGAGUGAAUGAACAAACUAUUUUGUGCUCAUUUAGCGAUUGUAUAUGGGUCCAUCAUUUUGGAUUGCAUGUUCACGAUUACCACUCGCAUGGCUUUGACUAAUGUUACGUGGUAAACUACUAAGUGUCCAAUCUACUUCGUUGGAUUUUUUGACCAUUUUGGAUCAAGAGUUUUAGAAAAAAGUUUCAUCUUCGUAAUCAAGCCGUAAAUUUUGUAUGUAGUUUGGUCGCAGUUUACGAAGCUACUCAAGACGAUCAUAAACUAUCUUUUCUUGGUGAACCGGUCAAUCCUGCUAAAGAAAUUCUAUAUUCAUUGUUCAUGGGUGGGGAAUUCAACAUCCUAUGGUUUCAGCAACGAUAAAAUAAUUAGUUUUACAGUUCUUUCUUAUUCAGCAUUGCCAUUGACAAUUUGGAUCUACCUGAGAUAUUUCUGGACAUCAAUUUACCUGGGCUAAUACCCGGCUAGAGUCGACGUUUGAAAAUAUGGGUCACGUGCCAAUGGAUGCUGGUUGGGAAUUGAAAUUUCUUUUGGUAACAAUACAUGAUUUGGUACGUACCAAAGCAUCGCAAUACACCGCUCAGUCAAGUUCGAAUGGUUUGUUGAUGUAGUCAACAAGGUUUUGGAUGGUCGAUGAUGGGUAGAUCGCCUUCCCAAGGGGUUAAAAAAAAUCCUCACUUUGCAACAGUUCCUCGCAUGGAGGGAGUUCUCCCACUGAAUCGAAUCUCUCCCGCGACCUAGGCUAGGGUUCCAUCCCCCGCGUUCCCGUCCGCCCACUCGCCCCCCUCCCGCCCCCCUCGCGCGGGCGAUGGGCGGGCCCCUGCCGCUCCCUCUCCUCCGGCCCCCCUCCCCGCCCCUCUCCCUCNNNNNNNNNNNNNNNNNNNNNNNNNNNNNNNNNNNNNNNNNNNNNNNNNNNNNNNNNNNNNNNNNNNNNNNNNNNNNNNNNNNNNNNNNNNNNNNNNNNNNNNNNNNNNNNNNNNNNNNNNNNNNNNNNNNNNNNNNNNNNNNNNNNNNNNNNNNNNNNNNNNNNNNNNNNNNNNNNNNNNNNNNNNNNNNNNNNNNNNNNGGCGCGGUCGUUGGCCACGUGGCGGCGUGGCGGUACUGGUGGCCGGCGGCACCGCGCGGCCCAGAUCUGGGCCCUUUCGGGCUCCAUCUGGGCUAGGGUGGGCCGGUGACUGGGUGCGCGGCGACGUUGCUCCCUGGUUGGUGGCGAGGAGGCGGUGGUCUGCGGGAGGUGGCGGCUUCGUCGGCCGGCGAGCUGCUGCGUGACGGUAGGGGCUGUCCGGACCCUUUUGGGUCUGGCCGGGCCUCGGCGCUUGGCAGGCCUCUUGUCCGUGCGUCCGUCCGGCUCCGCGGCAGCAUUGGUGGUUGUCCCCUCACGUCGGCGAUAUUGCAGAUGCCCUUGAGGCCACUAUCUCUUCUUCCGUCCUCCAGGUUGUGUUGGUGACCUCAGGGAGACGACGAAGUUGAUUCGGUGUCCGUGGUGGCACAUGUUGGUGGGCGGCGUGAUGGGCGGUGCACUAUGAUUCGUCUGGGGUGGUGGUGGGGGUUUGGGUUGGGAGAAAUCUCUGGCGGCUCGUUCGGCCCCAACGCGGCGAUGCCUGUGGGUGCCGUCGGACCUCCCUGAAGGGCGUCGGGUACGCUCUCCCCCCACUNNNNNNNNNNNNNNNNNNNNNNNNNNNNNNNNNNNNNNNNNNNNNNNNNNNNNNNNNNNNNNNNNNNNNNNNNNNNNNNNNNNNNNNNNNNNNNNNNNNNNNNNNNNNNNNNNNNNNNNNNNNNNNNNNNNNNNNNNNNNNNNNNNNNNNNNNNNNNNNNNNNNNNNNNNNNNNNNNNNNNNNNNNNNNNNNNNNNNACCCUAGGACUAAUCCGGGUAACAACGGCGUCGUCGUCGCCUCCUUCUUGAAGGUGUUGCUUGGUACGCGGCGCUUCAGAGUGCCGGGAGCGUGGUGGUACUUCUCCGGAGGGUGCAGCGGUCGCCGGUCGUCUUCGUUUCGUUGAUCUGCCAUUGUUGGCAUUUCUUUCUCUUUCUUUUUUCUCUGUUUUUCUUUGGGCUUGUUUGUGCUGCGGCCCCAACACCUAUCGUUGGAUGUAUCGAUGGUUGCUUUGUAAUACAAAGCAAGGAGAAACCCUUUUUCGUAACAGUUCCUCGCAUGAUAGGAAGUAAACACCACGGCAUAUACUAUAAAAAAACGCCCAUAUCCGACCGGGUCCUUUAACUAUGGCACAGCCCAUUAGGACAUACUUUUAUAGUAUGUAUUUUUUAUCUUCAACGUGUUAAAAUAUUAUUAUAAAUAGAUUUAUAACAAAAAGUUUUUGUGUACUGGGAACAAGUGUAGUGUGUUUUAAAAUAAAUGUGCAUGACGUCAAAAACGAAUGUUUACAUAGCUCGCUAGGGAUGUUUAUGUAUUCGUGAACAAAAUGUUAAUAUGUAUAAAAAAGGUUAAUGACUUCAUAAACAGUUUUAUGAACUUCAAAUAUUUUUUCUUAUAUACCUUUCUUUGCAAUGAAUGUGGAAUACGGUUGACGGGGAGUUUCGAUAUGACGGCCUUAAGCGGGAACUGUUGGAGCAAAUGUCGAAAGUAAAUCUCCAUAAUUAUAUUUAGUCUGGAAAAUGGUUUUAAAUUUUAAACGUAUGUGUUGCAAAAAAAAAAAGUUCACCUAUACGAAUAAUGCUCAUGUAUCAGGAAUACAAUUUGGUGACGAAUCAUAAAAAUAUAUUUCCAUAUGUGAGAAAGCAUUCACUUAUUUCAAGCCAGGAUGAUCAUGGUAUGGAAAUGUGACAUAAAGCAAUGUUCAUGUAUAAGAAAAAUUGUCCUCAUAUAUACUGUACAACUCCUUUUUUAUCGAGGUGUCGUGAGCUGCUAUGCGUAUAGGAAUUUGCCGAGUUUAAGGGCUGGCCGGUUGUUCUGCUCCUAGUUUUUUUGUGGCACAGUAUAAUCAAAGUCCCUCACAUACACGAGCAUAUAUCUGCCCUUAUGAACGCACACCAUAUCCCUAUAAGCAUCUUAAAAGACUGAGUUGGCAUAACAUCUUGAGAUUUCACAUAGUCACCACAAGCGCCUCGCAGUUGACGGAAAUGUUUCCUACGGGUUUACGGGCUGGCCGUUUGUUUUGCUCGAGUAAUGCUACAUUCACGGAUGAUUAUGAGGGUUUUACAGGGUCAUUAUGACUUGGCAAAUGGUUAUUGAGUUAAGGGGGAGGGAGGGGCCCCACCCACCUGAACCUCCCCGUAAUCAUCUGUGAAUGAAUUAAUGCUCCCCGAAAAAAAAAACAUCCGUGAAUGUAGCAUUAUUAAUUCUACUCCUCGUUUUGGGUUGAGAGUGAUGGCUCGUAGGAGUUUAUCGGUCCCCGGAAGAAUCACUCUCCCGGCAUGAUGGACCCUAGUUUCUUAGCUCUGGCGGCGACCCAAAAUGAUGCCUCCCUUUUGAUGUUGUCGAGAAGAACCGUAGGCGGAGCGGCCAUGUUGCGGAAUACACGGGCGUUUCACCCGUUCCAGAUCGUCCAUGUAGUGAGCAUGGUGAGCGAGGCCAUGGCCUUCCGGUUGGGGACGGAAGUAUCUGUCAACCCAAGCCACCAGUCUAAGGUGGAAUGCCUUAGGGGCCAAGUGGAGGUGUCAACGUGAAUGAGUUGUAGCCACACCUUGACCAAGCCCCAUAGGCGAAUGGUGAAACGGCAUUUGAAGAAGAGAUGGUUAACCGACUCAUUCUCACGCAUGCAUAAGGGGCAUGAGCCACAUGUUGGAAAUAUGCCCUAGAGGCAAUAAUAAAAUGAUUAUUAUAUUUCCUUGUUCAUGAUAAUUGUCUAUUAUUCAUGCUAUAAUUGUGUUAUCCGGAAAUCGUAAUACAUGUGUGAAUACAUAGACCACAACACGUCCCUAGUGAGCCUCUAGUUGACUAGCUCGUUGACCAAAAGAUAGUCACGAUUUCCUGACUAUGGACAUUGGAUGUCAUUGAUAACGGGAUCACAUCAUUAGGAGAAUGAUGUGAUGGACAAGACCCAAUCCUAAGCAUAGCUCAAAGAUCGUGUAGUUCGUUUGCUAUAGCUUUUCCGAAUGUCAAGUAUCAUUUUCUUAGACCAUGAGAUUGUGCAACUCCCGGAUACCGUAGAAGUGCUUUGGGUGUGCCAAACAUCACAACGUAACUGGGUGACUAUAAAGGUACACUACGGGUAUCUCUGAAAGUGUCUGUUGGGUUGGCACGAAUCGAGUCUGGGAUUUGUCACUCCGUAUGACGGAGAGGUAUCUCUGGGCCCACUCGGUAAUGCAUCAUCAUAAUAAGCUCAAUGUGACCAAGUGGUUCAUCACGGGAUCAUGCAUUACGGAACGAGUAAAGAGACUUGCCGGUAACGAGAUUGAACGAGGUAUUGGGAUACCGAUGAUCGAGUCUCGGGCAAGUAACGUACCGAUUGAAAAAGGGAAUUGAAUACGGGAUUGAUUAAGUCCUCGACAUCGUGGUUCAUCCGAUGAGAUCAUCGAGGAGCAUGUGGGAGCCAACAUGGGUAUCCAGAUCCCGCUGUUGGUUAUUGACCGGAGAGGCGUCUCGGUCAUGUCUGCGUGUCUCCCGAACCCGUAGGGUCUACACACUUAAGGUUCGGUGACGCUAGGGUUGUAGAGAUAUUAGUAUGCAGUAACCCCGAAAGUUGUUCAUAGUCCCAGAUGAGAUCCUGGACGUCACGAGGAGUUCCAGAAUGGUCCGGAGGUAAAGAUUUAUAUAUAGGAAGUCCAGUUUCGGCCAGCGGGAAGGUUUCGGGGGUUACCGGUAUUGUACCGGGACCACCGGAAGGGUCCCGGGGGUCCAUCGGAUGGGGCCACCUAUCCCGGAGGGCCCCAUGGGCUGAAGUGGCAUGGGAACCAGCCCCUGAUGGGCUGGUGCGCCCCACCCAAGGGCCCAAGGCGCCUAGGGUUGGAAACCCUAGGGGGCCGUUGCCCCCCGAGGGGGCAUGCGCCCCCCUGGUUGGAAACCCUAAGGGGGCCGUUGCCCUCAGGCCCCCCCUUUUAGAUGGGAUCUCCCCCCUAGCCCCUAUAUAUAGUGGAAGGGAGGGAGGGCAGCCACACCUUGCUCUUGGCGCCUCCCUCUCCCUCCGUAACACCUCUCCUCCCCGCUUGUGCUUGGCGAAGCCCUGCCGGGAUCCUGCUGCAUCCACCACCACGCCGUCGUGCUGCUGGAUCUUCAUCAACCUCUCCUUCCCCCUUGCUGGAUCAAGAAGGAGGAGACGUCUUCCCAACCGUACGUGUGUUGAACGCGGAGGUGCUGUCCGUUCAGCACUUGGUCAUCGGUGAUUUGGAUCACGGCGAGUAGGACUCCAUCAUCUCCGUUCACUUGAACGCUUUCGCUCGCGAUCUACAAGGAUAUGUAGAUGCACUCCGAUUCCCCUCGUUGCUAGAAUACUCCAUAGAUUGAUCUUGGUGAUGCGUAGAAAAUUUUUAAUUUCUGCUACGAUCCCCAACACCACAGUUAGGCCAACCGCGCUUGGCCAAUCGGUCCAGACUCUAUUUUGGAUGGCCAGCCAAGCAAAGAACUUGACCUUGGGUGGAGCCCAAAUUUUCCACACUGCAUGCUUCAAGGGAGAGCGAAUGAGGCCAAGAAAUUGCGCUUUGUAGGCGGACUCCGCCGAAUAGAGGCCACUAGUAAAAUGCUUCCAAACAAUCUCGUCGUCAAUAUCCUCAUGUAGAUGGAAAUCCCGGAUGGUGGCCCAAAGCUCGAGAAAUUGUCUGAAGUGCUCUAUAGAAAAACUGGACGUCAUCUUGAUCUGUUUAACCCAAGCACCAUCCUUUAGUGCUUCCCGCACCUUCCAAUUCUUACGCCGCGUAGAUGAGAGGGGCCAUAUCCAUGGGUUUGCGGUUGUGCACCCAUGGAGAGUCCCAAAAGGUGGUGUGCGCGCCAUUUCCCACGAUAAUAAUUGAGGAGGCAUAGAAGAAGUUGUAGUCCGCGUUAUCGCACGGGUUGUCCAUGCCAACCCACAUUUUAGUUGGGUCCUUCCAUUCAAACCAUACCCAACGAAGCAUCAGUGUCCUAGCAAAUUUCUCCAUGUUUAGCACUUUAAGACCCCAAUUGGCAAUUGGGCGGCAAACGGUGUCUCAAUUAACAUUGCAUUUGGCCCGGUGGUCUUGUCCGUUCCCUCCCAAAGGAACGCUGGCUCAAGCUUGUUGAGAUUUUUGAGGGCGACUUCAUCGUGUGGUACAGUGAAAACGUACGUUCCAUGCUGUACACGGCGCCAGAUAUGGUCUACGUCAGGUCCAGGUCGUAACAAGAAACGGAAACACGAGGCGACGAUCGCGUUUGGAAGGAUGCGCAUGAAUGGACUAGCUUUCGCCUACCGCCCACCGAGCGGCGAGAGCGCAACCUACAUCGACCAACUACCCAGCUGACCUCUACAGACCGGACUUGAAUGUAUGCACUACCUACGUGCUACGUCGGCGGCGAUGGCCGCGUACGCUGGCUACGUGCCGCAUGCAUGGCGAGCUCGGCCCGUGCGUGGCCAGCUAUAGAUACGUACCCCAUGAGUCCCUAGAAACACCUGCCACUGCGAGAGCGAGCGUGUGAGUAGAUCGACGACGAUGACAGACAUGGCCGUGAUGCUGGUGGUGCUGGUAGUGCUGGCCUCAGCUAGGCUAGUUACUCUAGCUGAGUUAGUUCUGUGGUACGCAAGUAUGUUGGUAUGAUCGAAUAAAACGAUGGUGAUCUACGGCGCCAGGCUGCUGGACGCGUCCGACUGCAUCUUGGAGCAGCGCCGGACGGCCCCUCAUAUGUCCUGCCGGACAGGCACUCUCCUCGUAUGGCAAAAUGAAAUUCAAUGUCCUAGACACGGCUGGAUAACGUGAUAAAUCACUCGCCACACGCCAUCCGUGCCGCAUGCUCUGUCAGCAUCCGUGUCGUGUGAUCUAUUGCCAUCCGUUACGCCAACGCCGCCUUGAACUCUCUAUGCAUGGUGAUCUCCUUCUUCCUCCUCUCAAGUCACUUCUUGCCUUCGGCAUCUAAGAGGCUUGCGUCCGUUAAUAUUAUCAUAGAAUCCUCCGUGUCUUGAGCCAGCUGCAACCUCUCCAUUUCAAUCUCUACGGUUCCAAAAGUUCAGGCUUUCUUGAGCUCCCAUUUUGGACACACCUCCUUCUUCUCCAAACUAUCCUCUCCUCAAUUUCUAACUCUCGUUGCUUUACUGAAAAAGGCUUUCGCCCCGCUUUAUAUAUAAAGCAAAGAUUAUCAACAACCCGGUACAACGCACGCCACCAGAAUACACGCACACACCCAGGGCAGGAUACAUAGGCGCUGAGCGCAGCAACACCACCCAUAGCACUACAAUAGCAACCGGGGGCCUCAACCGUGAACACGCCACCGCGAAGAGAAGAAGCUACAUACGAUGAACCGUGGGCUCCAAAGCGGUGCCAACAGGAAGGUUACGACACUGAAGCGCCGCCACCGCCCGACCCAAGGAUCAGGGUUUCCCCUGAAGCAACACGACGGGCAGUGAGAGCCGCGUAGACGCCUUCAAGAAGGGAACGAGCUUUGCCGUCGCUGGUCCGUCCGAAGAUAGAACAUGUUUUCACCACCACCGAACGUCACACCCUGGCUACCAUGCCGCCCACACGGCCAUGGCCACCAGGCAGCACCAAGCCACGAGCUUUGCCCAUGAGCACCGCGACACCACCACCAGGGCCGCCGCCCCGGCAUCCAGGAUCUCGAUGCCACCUCACCCACCACCCACCUCUACCCCAACCAAAGAGACGAGUGGAAAGGAACCGCCUUUCGUACCCCUGAGCAGUCAACGGGCAGCCCCGAGCCAGCGCCACCAUCCUCGCCGCCAAGGGCCGCCGCAUGCAAGGUCGGCCGAAGCCCACACCGCCGCCAGCGCCACCACCAGCACGAACCACCACCACCGCGCCGCCACUCCACCGACCACCGCAGAGACGGCUUCCCACAAAGUACCCAGCCCGCGCCGCCCGCCAGAUCUGGCCGCCGCUGCAACAGCCGGCGUCAGUGCAUGGACUGGCACGCCCCGCCCCUGCACAGCCCACCUCACCGCCAGCAAGGCCCCGAGCUUCCUCCACGCCAACCCACCACCACGUCCCGCGCACCGCAGCGCCCAAGACCAACAUCGCCGGCCCGCGCCAGCCCCUGACGAGCGAGGGGGUGAGAAGUGCCCGCCGCCGCCGGCCAGGCUUCGCCCGGCCGCGCCCUUUGGCGGCGGUGGGAGGGGGAGGGAGAGGCGGGCGGCGGCUAGGGUUCCUCCCCUGCCGCCCGCGGGAGCGCCAGAGGAGGAGGAGGUCGCGUUGACAGUUGUAUUUUGGGCCACUCAUUGCUUUCAUUUGCAACUUAUUGUUUAUCUUCUUCCAGUCCUAAUCCAUCCUCUCUUUAUUCACAGACAAGAUGAGUUUGUACCUCUCCUCUUUUGUGUCCCCCCUUGUGGAAAACUGCGUGCCCAUGUGAUGGACAUUUUUGAUGUCGUGGCAUCACGAACAAUCCUACGCUUCUCCUGAUGAGGUCACCUACUACAGGUAGGGUCAAGGACCUGUCAUAUGGAACCCACCUAGGGCCCCACACCAUCAUCGGUAGGUCUCUGGACCAUAGGUGCAUUCGGAUGCGUAUAACAAAAAGUCGAUUCGAACGCACGGACAUCACUCGGAUGCCUACCCUCCAAUCGGCAUGACCACCACCACUCGGACAAGGGAGGUGGAAGGAUGACAUGGGAGCUGCAACGGUCGAGUAGUCUUAAGUCGAACUUUAAGUAGAGUCAUAGCUACCAUUACAUGUAGCUAUCAUUGAUGGGGUUAUGUACCUAGGGUAGGGUCAUGGACCUGUUCCAAGUAACUUACCCUAGGACAUCCCUAGAAGAGGUCGCCUUCCAGUCGACCAACGAGGAUUCACUCGACUGGCCUGAAGGACUCGACCAUGAAGACUCACUCGACCACCAGGAGGUCAAGAGGCACUCUGCACCGCAACGGCCUGUAAUUAAGUAGACUUUAUGAUAGUAAAGGCACUUUAUGUGGGGCGUUACCAGUAACGCCCCAGACUUAACUCACCUUAAACCCUCUCCUACGUGGGCUGGCUGGGGUCCUGGCGCACUCUAUAUAAGCCACCCCCCUCCACAGGCAGAAGGGUUCGGCACCUUGUAAUCCAUACAUUCAUAAUCCACUCGACCGCCUCCGGGCUCCGAGACGUAGGGCUGUUACUUCUUCCGAGAAGGGCUUGAACUCGUACAUCCUUUGUGCUUACAACCUCUCCAUAGCUAGGACCUUGCCUCUCCAUACCUACCCCCCACUCUACUGUCAGGCUUAGAACCACGACAGUUGGCGCCCACCGUGGGGCAGGUGUUUUAGCGAUUUUGUGGAGAAGUUGCGAUUCUUCCGAGUACUUUCAUCAUGGUGUCUGCUGGAAUUUUGGUCGAGGGUCAAGAGAUCCGUCUCGGCGCUCUCGCCUUCAUCGCCGACGACUCCGCAUGGCUCCAGGAGGCUCCACUCGACGUAGAUGCGCUCCCCGUCCGCGGUGCGACGCAUUUUCGCGCAUGUGUCCGCGGCGUUCUGCUGCGGCAACCAUCGACUCAGUAUCGGUCGGCUCCUCCAUCUUCCACCCUCCCGGUCUCCCGCCAGCGCAAGCGCUCAGGCCGGUCGAGGCUUCAGCGAUGGGUGAGUCACGCGGUGGCUCGCCAGUCAGCCACUACACAAGUUGCGGCAAUCGAGCCCAACGAAUCUCUCUACGGCUUGUUCGAUCAGUCGACUGGCUCCGGAGAGACUGCAUCCGAGUGCGGAAGCAGUGAUCCAGUGGCGGAAAUCUUGAUGGUCGACGGGCCCCACAGUCCUCCUGGCUUCGCCCGUGGUGGUGGAGCAGGCGACGGCGGCGACCCUGCACGAGGCUACGAAGAGUACCAGCCCGAGCCACUCGACUCUCUGCAAAGAGAAGAGCUUCGCCGCAGGAACGAGGAUCCCCUGCGUAUUCCCAUCGCAGGAGAAACCCCCGAGGCUCGUGCCUUGGAGGAGGCGCGUCUGGCCAAUUUGGCCGAGCGCACUCGACUGGAGAACCUUCAGCGAGCACUCGACGAGCGCGCGCGGCAACGAGUUCCCGACACCAGUCGACGUCAACUCUUCCCGCCGACUCAGGUAUAUCGAACCCCAAUUCAGAAUUUAGCAGCUGCGACCCGUAUAGCAGAGUCCAUUCAGCCUUCGCAGUCGGAAGCUGGCAGAGGUUUGCUGCAAAUCAGGGAUCUGCUCCGGGCAGCAGGAGAUCAGAAUUCAGCCGUGUCUCAGUCGCGCAACAGAAUUCACAGUCGAUCUGUCACUGUGAAUACGGUUCAGUCGGCUCACAGCCCCAGAUCGCCUCCGCGGCGCGAAGGGCGUGAGAAUCGGCGAGAUCAAUAUGGCGACAGACUCGACCGAGAUGAUAGGCGUCGAGUGCCCUAUUCCCCUCCGAGGGGUGGGUCUUACGCUCCUCGGCAGCCAGAUGAUAGGCGUCAGUACAGUACAGGGCGUAGGGUUCCAGUUGACCCCAGAGAGCCAGGCUUCGACGCGCGAUCCAUUAUCGUGCAAGGGUUGGUCGACCGGAACAGAGCCCAUCGAGGCGCACUCGACAGAGAUGUGCCCACGAGCAGUCAAGUACAUGUUUCUGGUCCUGAAUGUUUCAGCAGAGCUAUCAGAGCCGCAGUUAUUCCCCCCAAUUUCAGGUUGGCAACAGGAGUCAGCAAGUUCACUGGUGAGUCUAAGCCUGAAACUUGGCUUGAAGACUACCGAGUGGCAGUUCAGAUCGGUGGUGGGAACGACGAGGUGGCCAUGAAGCAUUUGCCCCUCAUGUUGGAAGGUUCUGCCAGGGCAUGGUUGACUCAAUUGCCUCCUAGCAGCAUUUACACUUGGGAAGAUCUGUCCCGAGUGUUCGUCAGAACGUUCGAAGGGACUUGCAAGCGACCAGCGGGAUUGACAGAGUUGCAAGUCUGCAUGCAGAAAACCAAUGAGACUCUCAGAGAGUAUAUUCAGAGGUGGAUCACUUUGCACCACACUGUGGAAAAUGUCUCUGACCAUCAGGCAGUAUGCGCCUUCAAAGAUGGUGUCAAGAACAGAGAACUGAGUUUGAAAUUUGGUCGAACCGGUGACAUGACCUUGAGUCGGAUGAUGGAGAUUGCUACCAAGUAUGCCAACGGCGAAGAAGAAGACCGACUCCGAAGCGGCAAGCACAAGCCGAGUCAGUCGGAAAAAGGAAACACCAGUCGGAAACAGAAGCGGAAGGCUGAACCGGCAGCUCCUGGAGAGGCUCUGGCCGUGACUCAAGGAAAGUUUAAGGGGAAACCAAAAGGAUCCUGGAACCCCAAGAAGGUAAAGGAUAAAGAAGGGAACGACGUGAUGGAUAUGCCGUGUCAUAUUCACACGAAGAAAGAUGAAGAGGGGAAUAUCAUUUACCCAAAGCACACCACUCGCCAAUGUCGACUCCUGAUCCAGCAGUUUCAGGGAAAACAGUCUAAGGACAAGGAGAAGGAGCCGGACAAGGCCGAAGACAAAGAUGACAGUGAGGGAGGAUAUCCGCAUAUCAACUCCACUCUGAUGAUCUUCGCAGAUGUGGAAAGCAGAAGUCGACUGAAAGUGAUUAACCGAGAGGUUAACAUGGUUGCCCCAGCAAAGGCAAAUUAUCUGAAGUGGUCUCAAACACCCAUCACAUUCGACCAAUCUGAUCACCCGAAUCAUAUUGCCACCCCUGGGAGGCAAGCUUUGGUGGUCGAUCCAGUUGUCGAAGGCACUCGACUGACAAAGGUGCUGAUGGACGGUGGGAGUGGGUUGAAUCUGUUAUAUGCAGACACGUUGAAAGGUAUGGGCAUUUCGAUGUCCCGGCUGAGCACUAGUAACAUGAGCUUCCAUGGAGUUAUACCAGGGAAGAAGGCCGAGUCACUCGGCCAGAUAGCUUUGGACGUAGUGUUUGGCGAUUCAAAGCAUUUUCGCAAAGAAAAGUUGACGUUUGAGGUCGUGGAUUUUCAAAGUGCAUAUCAUGCCAUUUUGGGGAGACCAGCCUAUGCACGGUUCAUGGCUCGACCAUGUUACGUGUACCUCAAAUUGAAGAUGCCCGGUCCCAAAGGUGUGAUCACUGUCACCGGUGAUAGGAAAAAGGCUGAGGAGUGCUUUCAGAAGGGCUCCAAAAUUGCCGAUUCCCAAGUGACAGCGGUCGAGUUCGAAGAAUACAAGCAAAACGCAGAUCCGAGUGACUUGCUGCGAUCCAAGAAGCCCGCCACAGAAUCUGCAUUCCAGUCGUCCGGUGAGACGAAGCCUGUUCACAUUCACCCGACCGACCCCGAAGCAGCUCCGACCCGCAUCUCCACAACACUCGACCCAAAAUAGGAAGAAGCGCUCAUCCAGUUCCUCCGUGAGAACUGGGACAUUUUUGCAUGGAAGCCCGCUGACAUGCCAGGUGUUCCCAGGGGACUGGCUGAGCAUCGCCUAAGAGUCGACUCGUCUGCAAAGCCAGUCAAAGAACAUCUUCGGCGGUCCGCCGUCCAGAAGAGAAAGGCCAUCGGUGAAGAAGUGGCUCGACUGUUGGCGGCAGGAUUUAUCCGAGAGAUAUUCCACUCCGAGUGGCUCGCUAAUGUCGUCAUGGUUCCUAAAAAGGACAAGUCGCUCCGAAUGUGCAUUGAUUUCAAGCACAUCAACAGGGCCUGCCCGAAAGAUCACUUUCCUCUCCCUCGCAUAGAUCAAAUUGUUGACUCGACCGCGGGAUGCGAGAGGUUGUCUUUUUUAGAUGCUUACUCCGGGUACCACCAGAUCCGUCUAUAUGGGCCCGAUGAAGUAAAAACAGCUUUCAUCACUCCAUUCGGGUGCUUCUGCUAUAUCACCAUGCCAUUCGGCCUCAAGAAUGCCGGAGCCACAUUUAUGCGAAUGAUCCAGAAGUGUCUACUCACUCAAAUCAGUCGGAAUGUGGAAGCUUAUAUGGAUGAUAUUGUUGUCAAGUCACGAAAAGGUUCCGACCUGCUCGCUGACCUCGCCGAAACAUUUGCCAACCUCAGAAGGUAUGAUAUCAAGCUCAAUCCAUCAAAGUGCACAUUUGGAGUUCCUGGUGGCAAGUUACUCGGUUUUCUCGUUUCCGAACGGGGAAUCGACGCCAACCCAGAAAAGAUUGGCACUAUUCUCCGAAUGAAACGCCCUGUGCGAGUGCACGAUGUCCAGAAGCUUACUGGAUGCUUGGCCGCAUUAAGUCGAUUCAUCUCACGACUCUGUGAAAAGGCAUUGCCUCUUUACCGACUGAUGAAGAAGGCUGACAAGUUCGAGUGGACUCCAGAAGCUGAUGCAGCGUUUGCCGAGCUAAAAGCUCUGCUCUCCACCCAGCCGGUGCUUGCUGCUCCAAUCAGCAAAGAGCCUCUGUUGCUCUACAUCGCAGCCACAGGACAAGUCGUCAGUACUGUGCUAACGGUCGAGCGGGAAGAAGAAGGAAAAGCUCUCAAAGUUCAGCGCCCAGUGUAUUAUUUGUCUGAAGUCUUGACUCCAUCCAAGCAGAGAUAUCCUCAUUAUCAGAAGCUUGUGUAUGGAAUAUACAUGACCACAAAGAAGGUUGCUCAUUAUUUCUCUGACCAUUCAAUCACAGUCGUCAGCGACACUCCACUAUCAGAGAUUUUGCACAACAGAGAUGCAACUGGUCGAGUGGCCAAAUGGGCGAUUGAACUUCUUCCCCUUGAUAUCAAGUUUGAGGCAAAGAAAGCCAUUAAGUCCCAGGCAAUAGCAGAUUUCCUCGCCGAGUGGAUCGAACAGCAGCAGCCGACUGAAGUUCACUCGGAGCAUUGGACCAUGUUUUUCGAUGGUUCUAAGAUGUUGAAUGGUUCCGGUGCUGGGGUUGUCCUGGUUUCCCCCAGAGGAGAUAAGCUCAGAUAUGUGCUCCAGAUUCACUUUGAUUCCUCCAACAAUGAGGCAGAAUAUGAGGCCCUCCUAUAUGGGUUGCGCAUGGCCAUUUCACUCGGCGUCCGUCGCCUAAUGGUCUAUGGCGACUCGGAUUUAGUGGUCAAUCAGGUGAUGAAAGAGUGGGACGUGAGAAGCCCAGCCAUGACUGGAUACUGCAGUGCAGUGAGGAAGCCGGAGAAAAAGUUCGAGGGGUUGGAGCUCCAUCAUAUACCCCGACUGAAAAAUCAAGCAGCUGAUGAUCUAGCAAAGAUAGGUUCCAAGAGAGAAGCCAUUCCGAGUGGUGUGUUCUUGGAGCAUAUACAUACUCCGUCAGUCAAAGAAGAUCCUUUCACCGAAGAAACUCCGCAGCCCAAGAGUGCCACAGAUCCGACUGAAGUUGAAGUCCCAGCGGUGGUCGACUUGAUCAUGGAGGUUUUGGUAGUCAUUCCCGACUGGACGAUUCCGUAUGUCGCAUAUAUCUUGAGGAAAGAGCUUCCGGAGGAUGAGGAAGAGGCUCGACAGAUCGUCCGUCGAUCUAAGGCCUUUACCGUCAUCAAAGGACAAUUAUACAGAGAGAGCACGACUGGAGUCGGUCAGAAGUGCAUAACACCAGAAGAAGGUCGUCUCAUCCUCAAUGAUAUUCACUCGGGGACCUGUGGUCAUCAUGCGUCCUCCCGGACCAUCGUGGCCAAAGCAUACCGAGCCGGAUUUUACUGGCCCAAGGCGAAUGAGAUGGCAAAGGAGAUAGUGGAUAAGUGCGAGGGAUGUCAGUUCUACUCGAAUAUGUCGCACAAACCUGCGUCAGCUUUGAAGACCAUCCCACUCGUCUGGCCUUUUGCAGUCUGGGGGCUGGACAUGGUCGGCCCUUUGAGAACAGGACGAAGUGGCUUCACGCAUGUACUGGUGGCAGUCGACAAGUUCACCAAGUGGAUCGAGGCUAAACCAAUCAAGAGCCUCGACACCGGUACUGCUGUUAGCUUCAUCAGGGAACUAAUAUUCAGAUAUGGAGUCCCGCACAGCAUCAUUACGGAUAAUGGGUCGAACUUUGACUCAGAGGAAUUCAGAACCUUCUGCAACUCCCAGGGCACACGGGUCGACUACGUAUCAGUCGCCCAUCCGCAGUCGAAUGGACAAGCAGAGCGAGCUAAUGGACUGAUUCUCAAGGGACUGAAGCCGCGACUGAUGCGUGAUCUCAAACACGCGGCUGGAGCUUGGGUCGACGAACUUCCAUCUGUACUCUGGGGACUGCGGACCACGCCCAAUCGGUCGACCGGAAGAACUCCAUUCUUCUUGGUCUAUGGAGCCGAAGCAGUCUUGCCGAGUGAUCUUCUCCACAAUGCUCCUCGAGUCGAAAUCUACAACGAAGCAGAAGCUGAACAAGCGCGGCAGGACGCAGUCGACCUUUUAGAGGAAGAAAGGGAGAUGGCUCUGAUCCGGUCGACCAUCUACCAACAAGAUCUGCGCCGUUUCCACGCCCGAAAUGUGAGAGGUCGAGCCUUCCAGGAAGGGGAUUUGGUUCUCCGAGUGGAUCAGCACAAACCACACAAGCUUGCUCCUUCUUGGGAAGGCCCCUUCAUCGUCACCAAGGUUCUCCACAACAGGGCGUACCGUCUUUACAACGUCGAGCAUAAUAUCGACGAGCCCCGAGCUUGGAACGCGGAGCUACUCCGCCCAUUUUACACUUAAGUUUUAUCACUCGGAUGAGUUGCAAUAAAGUACUUUUGUAGUUCAUGGGUUUAGAAAUAAUUGUGUCAUCACUUUUUAUUUUUGUCCACAUAAAAACUCCCCCUCAGUGGGUGGCUUAGCCGCGAAUCCGUUUCGCCUAAGUUUGUAAAAAUCCUAUCGAGUGGUGAGCCAGACUCUCACUCGGAGGCUUAGCUGCGAAUCCGUUUCGCCUAAGUUUAUCAAAAUCCUACCGAGUGGUAAGCCAGCCUUCCACUCGGGGGCUUAGCUGCAGUCCAAGCACUCGCCUAAGUUUAUCAAAAUCCUACCGAGUGGUAAGCCAGCCUUCCACUCGGGGGCUUAGCUGCAGUCCAAGUGCUCGCCUAAGUUAUAAAAAUCCUACCGAGUGAAGAGCAACCCUCUCACUCGGGGGCUUAGCUGCAGUCCAAGCACUCGCCUAAGUUGUGAAAAUCCUACCGAGUGAAGAGCGAUCCUCUCACUCGGGGGCUUAGCUGCAGCCUCGUGCUCGCNNNNNNNNNNNNNNNNNNNNNNNNNNNNNNNNNNNNNNNNNNNNNNNNNNNNNNNNNNNNNNNNNNNNNNNNNNNNNNNNNNNNNNNNNNNNNNNNNNNNNNNNNNNNNNNNNNNNNNNNNNNNNNNNNNNNAAUCCUACCGAGUGAAGAGCAACCCUCUCACUCGGGGGCUUAGCUGCAGUCCAAGCACUCGCCUAAGUUGUGAAAAUCCUACCGAGUGAAAAGCGAUCCUCUCACUCGGGGGCUUAGCUGCAGUCCAAGCACUCACCUAAGUUUAUCAAAAUCCUACCGAGUGGUAAGCCAGCCUUCCACUCGGGGGCUUAGCUGCAGUCCAAGGGCUCGCCUAAGUUAUAAAAAUCCUACCGAGUGAAGAGCGACCCUCUCACUCGGAGGCUUAGCUGCAGCCCAGUGCUCGCCUAAGUGGACUAAAGAAUAAGUCGAUUGCGGUACAGGCACCUUGCUUUGAACCUGCAAAAGACAUUCCGAGCCGAAGGCAAUCAUAUUCAAGCGCCAAAUUCAAGUUUGAAUCGAUAUCUAAAGGAACCGAAAGUGCUCGGGCGUCAAGCCUGUUAAGGUUUGUCGGUUACAAUUCCACUCGGCAUACCGAGGCAAAUUUAAAGUGUCGAGCCAGAAGAAGUUUUUUACCCCUCCUGCGGAGGGCUGGAAGGUGCAACAAAUUCAUCAAGGUCAAUUCCGUCGGCGAUCCGAGUGGCAGCUGCAAGGAAAGUCUCCAUAAAGGACCUGAAGUCGUGCUUCUUGGUAUUGGCCACCCGAAGGGCCGCCAGCUUCUCCUCUCGUGCAUCUUUGCAGUGGACUCGGGCCAGACACAGAGCGACAUCUGCACCACACCGAGCCGAGGACUUCUUCCACUCCUGCACUCGACCAGGGAUCGUGUUCAAGCGGGCCAUCAGCGACUCAAGGUCAUUCUGAAGUGUCUCCUCAGGCCAGAGCGUCGAGUCGAUGCGAGAUGUGGCGGCCUUCAGCCUUGCGAGAUAGUCCACGACAGCUGCGACACGAGACUCCAGUCGGAAAACAUCCAUGGCAACUUCGUCGUUCACCGGAGAAUUGACGGGGUCAAGGUUUGGCUCCAGUCGGCUGGUUUCCUCUUCAAAGUUUUGACAAAAUUCUGCAAGGGCGAUCACUAAGUCAAGGGGAUAGUCGAAUGGAAGAAGCCACAGUUGGAAAUAUUUGCCAAACAUGGAGGUUUACCUUCAAGCAUAAGAAACAGCUUCUUGGCAAGGCCACUCAGGAAGGCCUCCAGUUCAGUUUUCUUCUCAGUCAAUUUGCUGACUUGGUCGGUCAAGGCAGCUUUGUCAGUUCUCAGUCGACUGACUUCCUUGUUGGCAAUCCCAAGAGCAGUUUUCAGAUUGGUAUUGUCUUGUUCGAGCUUGGUGACUGAAGCUAACUUCUCGUCAGCAAGCUUGAUCUUCUCAGCUAGCUCAAGGUCUUUCUUCUGCUGGGCCUCCCUUACCUUACCUGCAAGUUACAGCGAGAUCAGAUGCCGAAACAAGCAAGGGGAAAAGCAGUCGUCAGGGUCUCACCAAACAUACCUUCGGUCUCCUCCUUUGCCUUUGUCAGCUUCUCCUGAACCAGCUUCAAGCUCAGCUCGACUUGAGUAUGCUUUUGUUCCAGCUCUGAGUAGCGAGCCACAAGAUCACAGGAGUUCUGCGAAGAACCAAUCGACUAAACGUCAAAUGUAACUCACUUCCGAGUGAAAAAGGGAAAAACACACGUUUCUAAGACUACAGCCGAAUACAAGCAUUCGACCGUAGUCUCGGGGACUACACCCAGUGGGUGCACUCAGCGUGCCCCCACUAAUCCUGUUGAAGACAAAGUCGACCAGUCGACCUCAAAAAAAAAAAACA